rnacentral:rRNA from 1 species
UACAACGCACUACCUGUUCAUAGUAGACGUUGCUGUCAACAGCACACUGCCCACCAUCAACGCAGGGGACUACACCUUCAACACAGACUGGUCGUGAACGUCCUUCGGUUUUUUCUCGGUGUGCCCACCUCCAAUAAUUACUGGGGACGCAUUAUAGUACAUGUCAUUCCAAGCUGUUCCUGUAAUCUCAAGCAAUCAUACCCCACUCACAACUAUCUACACAUCCGUGACAAUCACUGCACGCUACCGACCUAGUUCCCACUACAACUUCUGGCAGACAAGACGCAACAAGGCCACUGCCUUGCUGAUUGGCGCUAGGCUGGUUCGCCUAUGCUUCCCGCGGUUCUACAUGGUCAAGCUGUUGCCUGUAAGGGACCCGCUCGAGGUGGCCUUCAAGUAUACGUGACCUACGCUGCCCGCGUGCAUGACGCCAAAAGUGCCUCAGGUAGGGAAGUUCUACAACGCGCCUGUCGCCCUGGAUUCAGGUGCCGGUGCAGUGCUAACGGUACCCAUCGCGGCGGUGGGUGGAAAACUAAACACGAGGA